rnacentral:lncRNA from 1 species
UAGGAGGUUGAAAAUAGGUGACAUGAUCCUUCGGGUCGGCAAUGGAGUAAAGAUUGCUACAAAGACUAUUGGUACUUACUCUCUUUGAUUAUCAUCUGGUGUUAGAUUAGAUUUAAAAGACAGUUAUUAUGUUCCUGUAGCUAGUCGAAAUUUAAUUUUCAUGUCUGUAUUAGCACCGAAAGGUUUUGAAAUUUAUUUUAAUAAAGACUUUUAUUCUAUUUAUUUAUGAAAUAACUUGAUUGCACG